UAGGGAAUCUUCCACAAUGGACGCAAGUCUGAUGGAGCAACGCCGCGUGAGUGAAGAAGGGUUUCGGCUCGUAAAGCUCUGUUGGUAGUGAAGAAAGAUAGAGGUAGUAACUGGCCUUUAUUUGACGGUAAUUACUUAGAAAGUCACGGCUAACUACGUGCCAGCAGCCGCGGUAAUACGUAGGUGGCAAGCGUUGUCCGGAUUUAUUGGGCGUAAAGCGAGUGCAGGCGGUUCAAUAAGUCUGAUGUGAAAGCCUUCGGCUCAACCGGAGAAUUGCAUCAGAAACUGUUGAACUUGAGUGCAGAAGAGGAGAGUGGAACUCCAUGUGUAGCGGUGGAAUGCGUAGAUAUAUGGAAGAACACCAGUGGCGAAGGCAGCUCUCUGGUCUGCAACUGACGCUGAGGCUCGAAAGCAUGGGUAGCGAACAGGAUUAGAUACCCUGGUAGUCCAUGCCGUAAACGAUGAGUGCUAAGUGUUGGGAGGUUUCCGCCUCUCAGUGCUGCAGCUAACGCAUUAAGCACUCCGCCUGGGGAGUACGACCGCAAGGUUG
rnacentral:rRNA from 1 species